rnacentral:rRNA from 1 species
CCUACGGGCGGCAGCAGUGGGGAAUAUUGGGCAAUGGGCGCAAGCCUGACCCAGCAACGCCGCGUGAAGGAAGAAGGCUUUCGGGUUGUAAACUUCUUUUCUCAGGGACGAAGCAAGUAACGGUACCUGAGGAAUAAGCCACGGCUCACUACGUGCCAGCAGCCGCGGUAAUACGGAGGUGGCAAGAGUUAUCCGGAUUUACUGGGUGCAAAGGGCGUGUAGGCGGGAAUGCAAGUCAGAUGUGAAAACCGUGGGCUCAACCUGCGGCCUGAAUUUGAAACUGUUGUUCUUGAGUACUGGAGAGGCAGACGGAAUUCCUGGUGUAGCGGUGAAAUGCGUAGAUAUUAGGAGGAACACCAGUGGCGAAGGCGGUCUGCUGGACAGCAACUGACGCUGAGGCGCGAAAGCGUGGGGAGCAAACAGGAUUAGAUACCCGGGUAGUC